CUACGAUGUUUAAUAUCCAAGAUCUGGGCGUUAUUUAAAACUUGAAUGGUUUACAUGACGAUCAAGAGAUUACUGCAAAUGCCGGAUGCUCUGCAAGCGAACAGUCUACGGCUUCUAAACCUGAAGCAGUCGAAUCACAUGACAUGAGAGAGACAACUGGGAAGUGAUAGAUACAAUCUCUGUAUUCUGAUUAAUUAAAGAUUUGAGACUUGAGUCUGAUAUAUUAAUGGUAUACUUUGACAGAGUCUCUUCAGGAAGACAAUCUGCAAACGUUAAACCUCAAAGACCCAUCAAAGAAACCGCAGAUCCGCCUUUGCAUGAUGACAUUGUUGAUGAAUCUUAGUCCGAUGCCGUGUACAGUUUCAAUGGAGGUUAAGGGAGAGUCAAAGAACAAACCAGCAGGCGAUGAAUCAGAGGAGAUGAGAAAAACAACAGUUGGAAGACCUUCAAGGAAAGCUGCUGAUAUAAUCAAAUCGUACAAGGAACCCUCACUUAGGGAGAAGAUGCGAGGGGGAUUCUAAGUCUCUCCAGAUCUGAUAUCGUCUCGAGCCUCUUAUGUUUUUGUGAUUCUGCGAUUUCACUUUUGUUGAAUGAGCUCUUGCUUGUUGUUAUAAUCACAAUGUAUAUUCGUAGGGUGUAUUUGCUUCUUUAAAUCAAAAGGAGAGCUAGCGAGUGGUCUUGCAACUGUACAGGAAGGGGACUGGAAGGUUUAAAUUCGGUUUGAUGGAAACUCUCUGUGAAAAAUUGGAAUAUUUGGUCAAAUCUUUGGGAAUCUCAAUAAUUUCAGGGAUUCUUUUAAUC